GAACGAAAAUCCGUUGGUUUCGACCGUGAGGGUUCGAUUCCCUCUAUCCCCAACGA
rnacentral:tRNA from 1 species